rnacentral:rRNA from 1 species
UACGGGGGGAGCAAGCGUUGUUCGGAUUUACUGGGCGUAAAGGGCGCGUAGGCGGUCAGCACAAGUCAGUUGUGAAAUCUCCGGGCUUAACUCGGAAAGGUCAACUGAUACUGUGCGACUAGAGUGCGGAAGGGGCAACUGGAAUUCUCGGUGUAGCGGUGAAAUGCGCAGAUAUCGGGAGGAACACCAAUUGCGAAGGCAGCUCGCUGGGACGGUACUGACGCUGAGGCGCGAAAGCGUGGGGAGCAAACAGG